rnacentral:rRNA from 1 species
GACGAACGCUGGCGGCGUGCUUAACACAUGCAAGUCGAACGAAGAGCGAUGGACGCUUGCUUCUAUCAAUCUUAGUGGCGAACGGGUGAGUAACGCGUAAUCAACCUGCCCUUCAGAGGGGGACAACAGUUGGAAACGACUGCUAAUACCGCAUACGAUCUAAUCUCGGCAUCGAGGAUAGAUGAAAGGUGGCCUCUACAUGUAAGCUAUCACUGAAGGAGGGGAUUGCGUCUGAUUAGCUAGUUGGAGGGGUAACGGCCCACCAAGGCGAUGAUCAGUAGCCGGUCUGAGAGGAUGAACGGCCACAUUGGGACUGAGACACGGCCCAGACUCCUACGGGAGGCAGCAGUGGGGAAUCUUCCGCAAUGGACGAAAGUCUGACGGAGCAACGCCGCGUGAGUGAUGACGGCCGUCGGGUUGUAAAGCUCUGUUAAUCGGGACGAAAGGCCUUCUUGCGAAUAGUGAGAAGGAUUGACGGUACCGGAAGAGAAAGCCACGGCUAACUACGUG